rnacentral:rRNA from 1 species
UACGUAGGGUGCAAGCGUUAAUCGGAAUUACUGGGCGUAAAGCGUGCGCAGGCGGCUUUGCAAGACAGAUGUGAAAUCCCCGGGCUCAACCUGGGAACUGCAUUUGUGACUGCAUGGCUAGAGUGCGGCAGAGGGGAAUGGAAUUCCGCGUGUAGCAGUGAAAUGCGUAGAUAUGCGGAGGAACACCGAUGGCGAAGGCAAUCCCCUGGGCCUGCACUGACGCUCAUGCACGAAAGCGUGGGGAGCAAACAGG